rnacentral:rRNA from 1 species
UACGAAGGGGGCUAGCGUUGCUCGGAAUCACUGGGCGUAAAGGGUGCGUAGGCGGGUCUUUAAGUCAGGGGUGAAAUCCUGGAGCUCAACUCCAGAACUGCCUUCGAUACUGGGAGUCUCGAGUCCGAGAGAGGUGAGUGGAACUGCGAGUGUAGAGGUGAAAUUCGUAGAUAUUCGCAAGAACACCAGUGGCGAAGGCGGCUCACUGGCUCGGUACGUGACGCUGAGGUGGCGAAAGCGUGGGAGCCAAC